rnacentral:rRNA from 1 species
UACGUAGGGGGCAAGCGUUGUCCGGAUUUAUUGGGCGUAAAGCGCGUGUAGGCGGCCAGGUAGGUCCGUUGUGAAAACUCGAGGCUUAACCUCGAGAUGUCAUCGGAAACCAUUUGGCUAGAGUCCGGAAGAGGAGAGUGGAAUUCCUGGUGUAGCGGUGAAAUGCGCAGAUAUCAGGAAGAACACCAAUGGCGAAAGCAGCUCUCUGGGACGGUACUGACGCUGAGACGCGAAAGCGUGGGGAGCGAACAGG